UGCUGGUAGUCUCUUUGAUUUAUUAGGCAAAAUCCAAAUAAAAGAAAUACUCCUAGAUUUAAGGGGAACUAAAACCCUCAAGAUAAAAGCAAUCACUACUACAUUUUUUAUCAAAUGCAACGGCAAUAAAAUGGCUAAUGCGACGGUCCAGCCAUUGCCGUUGUAAUAGAGGUAUCUAAAUGCAACGCCUAUAUUCUAUUGCAACAGUUUCUCUUAUACCGUCGCAUUAGCUUUGCUAAUGCAACGACUAAUGCAACGGCUCUACCUAUAAGGCUAUAAGUCAUUAAAAAUAAUAAGGCCAUAGAAAAGCACCCACUCACGUGUCACGACACACAAGUACUCUUACCCAUAUUUUUUUCUCGCCUCAGCUCCUUCCUCCACAAGCCUUUCACUCUCUAACUUAGGGUUUUGGGAAAGUUCAUCACCGAAAUUCAUUCGAGAUUCGUCAAUUUUUGAAAGAUCUGUCAUCAAAAUCCUUGAAGAUUGGGAAGAUGUCAUCUUUUCUUGUAUUUAAAGGCCAAUCGUAAUUGAAGGAGCAUGGUGAGCUAAAUGGAGAAGAAAUGUAGAUCUAGCGCUAGCAAUGAGACGGUGGAGGCUCUUGUUUGUUUUGGGUCGUUUUGUGAUUUCUAGUAACGUUGAAUUUGUUUCUAUGGAUCUUAAUUUUAUGUACUUUUGUCAUUAAAAACACUAAAUUAAUUAGUGAAUAACUAUUUUGUAAUGUGUGUGUCCUAUGGGCACUAAUAUUGUAAUAUUACUCUUCAAGUCAAUGCAAAUCUUUUGUUAUUGGCCUCCGUUA